CCUACGGGUGACAGCAGUGAGGAAUAUUGGUCAAUGGGCGGAAGCCUGAACCAGCCAAGUAGCGUGCAGGAUGACGGCCCUACGGGUUGUACACUGCUUUUAUACUGGAAUAAAUCGCCUUACGUGUAUGGCUUUGCAUGUACCGUAUGAAUAAAGACAGGCUAAUUCCGUGCCAGCAGCCGCGGUACUACGGAAGGUCCGGGCGUUAUCCUGCUUUAUUGGGUUUAAAGUGAGCGUAUGCCGCAUGUCAAGUUUGCUGUGAAAUGUCCGGGCUCAACCCGGGCCUUGCAGCGCGGACUAGCGUGCUUUAGUCCGCGGAAGGCAGGCGGAAUUCGUCGUGUAGCGGUGAAAUGCUUAGAUA
rnacentral:rRNA from 1 species